AAACCUGAUGUAGUUGUGCUGGCUCUCUCGGGAGUAUGUGCACGCUCAUCAUCUUUAUAUUUCCACCUGUGCACCUUUUGUAGACCCAGGCGACUUGAGCAAUCAAGUCAAUUGAGUCUAUGUCUUAUCAUAUACCCCAUAGUAUGUCCUUGAAUGUAUCAAUGGGCUUUGAUGCCUAUAAACAUUAUACAACUUUCAGCAACGGAUCUCUUGGCUCUCGCAUCGAUGAAGAACGCAGCGAAAUGCGAUAAGUAAUCUGAAUUGCAGAAUUCAGGAAUCAUCGAAUCUUUGAACGCACCUUGCGCUCCUUGGUAUUCCGAGGAGCAUGCCUGUUUGAGUGUCAUUAAAUUCUCAACCUCUCUAGUUUUUUGACUAGUAGAUGGCUUGGAUGUGGGGGUUUUGUGCAGGCUUUCACAAGUCAGCUCCCCUGAAAUACAUUAGCCGGUACUUUCUGACCGUCUAUUGGUGUGAUAAUUAUCUACGCCGUGGACUAUUGGAUAAUUGUACUGCUUCUAAUCGUCUUGUACUAACAAUCUAUGACAUUUUGACCUCAAAUCAGGUAGGACUACCCGCUGAACUUAACAUAUCAAUAAGCGGAGGAAAAGAAACUAACAAGGAUUCCCCUAGUAACUGCGAGUGAAGCGGAAAAGCUCAAAUUUAAAAUCUGGUAGUCUUUGGCUGCCCGAGUUGAAUCUAGAGAAGUGUUAUCCGCGCUGGACCGUGUACAAGUCUCCUGGAAUGGAGCGUCAUAGAGGG
rnacentral:rRNA from 1 species